AUUGAACGCUGGCGGCAGGCCUAACACAUGCAAGUCGAGCGGAUGAACGGAGCUCUCUCCCGUAUUCAGCUGGCGACGGGCGGGUAAUUCCUAAGUAUCUCCCCGGCAGCUUUGGCUAAGGUCCUGAAGCGGGCGCUAAUACCGUAUACGUUCAUAGGGCGAACGGGGGGGAUCAUUGGACCUCACGCCUUUUGCUGAGCCUGAGUCGGAUUUUCUAGUUGGGAGGGUAAAGGCCUACCAAGGCGACGAUCCGUAACUGCGCUGCGAGGGUGAUCAGUCAAACGGGAACUGAGACACGGUCCAGACUCCUAAGGGAGGCAGCAGUGGGGAAUCUUGGGCAAUGGGCGAAAGCCUGACGCAGCCAAGCCGCGUGAGUGAAGAAGGUCUUCGGAUUGUAAAACCCUUUUAGUUGGGAAGAAAAAGAGUCAGUUUAACCCUUCCCGUUUUGACGGUACCAAAAGAAAAAGCCACGGCUAACUUCGUG
rnacentral:rRNA from 1 species